rnacentral:rRNA from 1 species
UACAGAGGUCUCAAGCGUUGUUCGGAAUCACUGGGCUUAAAGGGCGCGUAGGCGGGCGACCAAGUCAGGGGUGAAAUCCCACGGCUCAACCGUGGAAGUGCCUUUGAUACUGGCCGUCUGGAGGGAGGUAGGGGCGUGCGGAACUUCCGGUGGAGCGGUGAAAUGCGUAGAUAUCGGAAGGAACGCCGGUGGCGAAAGCGGCGCGCUGGACCUCUUCUGACGCUGAGGCGCGAAAGCCAGGGGAGCAAACGGG